UCUUUCACAAGGAAACCAGAACUAUGGUUAUGUUGUGCUCUGUCCAGGUAAUGUUUUAACAGUGAAUUUCCUGACUCCUCUCAAAGCCAUUAUUAACUAAUUAAUGAUCACAUUGAAGGAUUUGUCUUCUUUUUCUUAGCUAUCACUGUACUGGCAGUGAGCUGACCUGUACUUUAACUUCCACUGUGGUAGGUUUAGUACUAUUGUACUAAUGACAAUUACUCUGAUUUAUGACUAUUAGGUGAGAAUGGAAUUUUCCCCAGUAAGUUUCUUAUAACCUGUGAGUACUGCAGUAGUAUCAGGGUUGAUUCAGACUGAAUCUAAAACAUAAAGCAACGCUCAUUGUCAAGCUGGAAGUGCAUGGACAUGAACUCACAUCGUGGAUGCUUUCUAUGCACUGUGAACACUGCAGGCUACUUCAUGUCCCUGCUAUUGAAAUCCUGUGGUUUUCUUUCAUAGAAAAGGGAUCUGUCUGUAUGCUUUAUAAAACUUAUGAACUCAUUGCAAAGAGAAAACAAAUGGACAGUGUAGAACAUUUCUCAAUAGCUUAGCUGAAAAGAGUUUUUCCUCCAGAAAUUUUUUUCUAAGGGAAAACCAUAGUACUGAUUGCAACACAACCACAGCAUGGAGCGAGCCUACGGGGAUGGUGACUACUGGCAUCAUUCAAACAAGGUGCUAUUUUGUCCUCUCUGGUCUUUUGGUCGAAUUAAUAAGCAUAAAUUCUGGUUUGCUGGGUUCCUGAAAAGCAAAAUGGGAUGCUUGAACACCUGAACAAGAGCUGUGUAGCAAAGGAGGGUGAAAAAGAAGAUGGACCACUCUGAAAUUACUGUUAGGCAGGUCCAUUUCUCUCCACCCAUAUUUCAGUCCUCCUUAGACUGGGGAUGACCUAAGCAGAAACCCUGGACAACCCAAGCACAGCAAGCCAGAAGAAGAUGAUAUUAAUGCUCCUACUGCAUGCCUACAAGGAGUAGCUCCACAAAGAUCUGGGCAACAUUUUGGCAGUGAAGACAAGAUUUCAGUGAUGCUCCAAAAAAGAAGGGUAAAUAAAAGCUGAAUGUAAAGCCCAAUGUAGCAAGAUUUCCUCUGCAGAAUGGAUGCUUGCUUUUUCAUUGCACCAGCUGAAUUCUCUAAAAUAAACAGAAUAACCAAUUUAAAGCAGAUGCAUGGAACAACAAUCAGGUUUCAUUUCUGGUUUUAAUCUUUUUGAACCACAGCAUUUGGCACUCGGAGCUCAAAGGAACUGCAGGCUGUAUCAGGAGUUUGCUGUAACUUAGCAGCUUGGAGGAAGCAGAUUUGUGACUACAUAACAGGGAGAGAUGAAACAGCUCUGUUCAGAUAACUGGAUUAUAAUAAAAUAUGCAAGUUGGAACCUGGAGACAAAUGAACAUCCAGAGCUUCUUCCCAUGAAAUGUUAUCAAAUGCAGCUUGGGAACAACAGAGCUGAACAGUCAGUGGCCAGCUCCAGCACUGCGUCUGAAGUGAUGAAACAGUGAACUCAGGAGUUUUAUUGGUAGUUACUAUUCUGUGUGCCACCAAAAAAAAAAAAAAAAAGAAAAAAAAGUGUGGAGUAAAUCAAUGUUAUGUGAAAUCUGGGCUCAUGAAUGAAGAGUAGUCCGAUACCAUUUCAGUUCCCUUUGUGAAUUCUGGGAGCGCCUUCUUCUUUUUUUUUUUUUUUUUUUACAAGGCAGCAAAACCAAAAAAAAUCAUGAAAGCCACAUGGGCCUGAUUUCCCAUUUCCCUGCUCGCUGUGCUAUCAUUUACCUCAGAGACUUUGCAUCGCAUUGUGUGACUACCCACAGCAUCUGAUCCCAUGAGGCUGAAGUCAUUCUUCAAACAGCAAUCGUCUUUUAAGGACUCGAUGGAGGGGGAAGAUGAUGCCAGGCAAGACAGCAAAGCCCACACAAAGAAAUAUCUUUCAGACAAGCUGGAAAUUCCCUGGAGACCAGUCUUGUGACAUGGUUACACCAUCACAGACACUUUUCCAAAACAGUGGCUAUGAUGGGUGCCUCUUGACAAUUUGCCUGAGAAAAAAAGUGAAAAGCAGGGUGUUACUUACCUGCAUGUUCACACCGGGUUGCUGGGACAUUUGCUGAGAGCAGAGAUACCCCAAAACAGUAUUGGAGGAAAGCUUCACAAAUUUGUUGGGACCUCAGCAGGGUCUUCUUGUUUCUGCUUAUUUCUUCCAUGUAGUUUGAAGGGAUAAUUUAGAUGCUAUCGCUCUGGGAUGUGUGAGCCAUUCAAAAAAACCUUUCUCUGGAAAACCAGAUCUCUCUGGGUGCCCGGGUGAAUGGCAGGCUGGGCCCGCUGCUGCUGUGUCCGCCCGUCUUUGGAGACGCAGGUUAUUUCAACUGUCUCUCCUUUGCUUCAAGUCAAGAGGGAGAGAGGGCUGUGGCUGCAGUAGCAGGGGAGGGAUGCAGCGCAGAGGCUUGCUCUGAAUGAAGUGGUAAGGAGCAGGAUGGUAUGCACGAGGGUAGAGCCCAGUCCAUCACUUAGCAAACGAGUUUUCUCUCAUUUGCCCUUUGUUUCUGAUUCUUUCUUCACUUUUUUUUUUUUUUUUCCUUUGUGAGUGAUUUAUCCUUAAGUGAUUUAUCUUUAUGUUCCCUGUAAGUAGACAUUAAGUAGCAGUAAAAAUUCAAAGGAAUCUCUGUCACAGUGUCUGAUGAACACCACUAACCUGCAGUGAAGAUAUCUACCUUGUCAUGUUCACUGAAGGCUCAUAUCCUGAUUCAAACUAUGGUCUGCUGAUGGUUUUUUCUUCCUGGAUUUACAGCUCUGAAUGGUGAGAUCACAGCACAGCCUGAUAUUUCUUGUCCUUUCCAAAUGUGGAGAAAGACUCCCUUUUGCAGCUCACAUACGUGUAAUUCAUUUGUGUUCACAGCCUCCCAUUUGGAUCUCCAGGUCUUUUUAAAAACAACUCCACUCCUCCCCCUUCUCCACUGCUUACAUGUAGGUUCAGCAUGCAUUAGCCUAUUUCUGUAUAACGACACUCACAAAACAAUACCAGAAAUUAUGAAACCACUUAAGCUUUCAGGCAAAAAAAAAAUAAAAAUCUGAAACUGUUUAUAUUUACAAAUGGUACCUAUUUAAACAGUUCUUGCAACUAUUGCUUCCUCUGGUAGCAAGUUUAAUAAUAAUAAGUAAAAAAAAAAAAAAAAAAAGAAUUUAAUUCCAAAAGGAUAAAUAUGACAACAGAUAUUUACAGAAGAAUUGGACUGUUUUUAUGAAAAGAACAUUUUCUCCGCAGCUUUCCAAAUGGUAUCUAAACAACUGGACUUGCAAAGAUUAAAACACAAUCUAUUAGUCCAGCGCAGAAAAAAUAUAACCCCAAGCGUUCUUGCAAUAACAGCACAUUACUGAUAGAGUGGAGACUGCAGUGCCAUUCUUCUACCCCAUAAUUCUCUUUUAUUUCAUUAAACUCCUUCUGCAACACAAAGAGAUUGUUAUGUGAAAUAGGUGAAUAAUUUCUGCAUAAUAUUUUCCAAAAAUGCAUGAAUAAAGAAGAGGAAAUACAUAGGCUUUGCUUGCAGAAAUGGCACUUAGCCCUUGAGAAGCAUCAAAGAAACUUAGAAGUGUGGGACAAUGAGCAAAUUUUCCAACCCAGACCUUGCGCACUGCAGCCCUGCCCCUGUAGUCUCCCUUUGAGGCAUGUGGAUGUUUGCAUAUUUUGAUGGGCACGAUGACAGCCUUAUCAACUGAUAGGAGCUUCAUCCUGAGUUCUGCUGAGAAAUAACAGUAAAGCUGUAUUUGGAUGCUACAUGAACUCAAUUAUCCCUUUCUUUAGAAACAAUGCAACGAGAGACGCCUCUGUCUUGCUGGUCAGGUAAGAUAUGAAGAAGAGAUUAAACCACCACAACUUCCAAACCAAUGGGCUACAAGAGCAGUUUGCUCCUUUCCAUAACAGGCUGCUGUUUUUCUUGCAGCAUCCUAAGAGACAUCUGGGUGGUGUGGCAGGUGCCUUGGACAAAGAAGUGGACACCUAAACCCAAGUGUGUAAUGAGUGCAUGCUGCCACCCACCUGAAGUACAGCCAUGGAGAGCAAUGACUCCGGUGACACCUUCCUUAUGUACUGAGUCCGGGGGGAUCAGUCCAGGACUGAUGCACCUUCAAGGUGUUGAUGCUGCACGCCUAGGACAGGCCCUCCAGUGCUGCCCACGAUGGAUGGUUUUGCUGCACUGUCAUUUGCACUUAGUGAUUUCCAACGUACCUAGCCUAAGUUUAUGAUGUAGGAAAAAACCCAGUAAGGAAUAAUAUGCAAAUAAAAGAGACCUGAAUGAA